UGCCUACAUUUGCCUGUUAAAAUAUAUGAAAGGUCCUUUAUGGGAUUAUUUUGUCAAAACAGAGAUCAGUAAGAAAAUAGAAAUCCUAUUAAAUUUUGAAAUCACUAAUGUUAUUGUAGAUCCUUAAAAGGUCAAAAGGGCAGAUAUGAAAAAUGACUCUUUCUCAAAGUGCAUUCUCAGAUGAAUCAAAUGAGUGUGUACUGGUGAUGACUGAAAUAUUUAUGCAUUUUUACUGAAAUGCACUGGGUUUACAGCAUGAUUUCUGAAAACUAAUGAGCAAAGCUAUAGCUGUCAGAUAAUUAACAAAAGAUGAGAAAAAAAUUAGGAUUAGCAUCAGAAAACUGCUAAAAGGCAGCAGGAGAAAGAAAAAAAUGCAACCUUCGUAUGAAUGUAAAACACACAAAGGAGCUGUUGCUCAGCUCUAGCUUUUCUUUCAUUUUCUUCAUGUUUUCUCUCUGCACCAUUUUCUCCCUGAUCUGAACAUUCAGCAUGAAAUGACUUUUCAUCUACCCAGCCACUAAAACUUGUGGAGUCACCACUACAAUUUUGUCCUGUCUUGGUGCAAUUGUUGGAUGAUUCAAGUCUUUACUCAUCAUGUUGCAUUAACAGCCUGUGUUGACCUACUUUCCAGUUUUACCCCAGAUAAAUUAAGCAAAAUAUCAUCUUUGGCUUCUUAAGUGAACUCCACAGACCUGGGACUCAUGGUAGCUAUAUAGGCCAGUAAACAUGGUAUUGUAGUGUCUUAUAACAGGACACAGACUUAUUGUUGAUAAGCCAGCGAUACAGGAAGGAUUCUGAGCUUGUCUAGGCCUUCCUGGAGACUUGUUUGAGCUUGUUUGUCUGUAACAAGAAUUGUCUAAUCACCAGGUCACCAUUGCCUUGUUUUUCUUUACCUGACUUUAAAAGAAUUGUGUGGUGUGAUACUCACUGUAUUCAAACAAUUUCAGCCUUUGGAGCCGGCUAAAACUCUAUAGAUUAAAUUCAGAUAUAACAUGGACCUGCACUUAAAUAAGGAAAAGUUACCAAAACUAUAAAAGCAUGUUAGAGAUUGUAAGAAUAUGUAAAGACCAACACAAAAAUCAUCUCAAACAUUACUACUG
rnacentral:lncRNA from 1 species